rnacentral:rRNA from 1 species
UGAGGAACAUGACCUUCGGCGGGGGAUAGCCGGCCCAACGGCCGGGUAAUACCGCGUACGACCACAUGGGGACAUCCCUGAGUGGUGAAAGCAGCAAUGCGCCGAUGGAGUGCCUCGCGGCCUAUCAGCUAGUUGGUGAGGUAACGGCUCACCAAGGCGACGACGGGUAGCUGGUCUGAGAGGAUGGCCAGCCACAUUGGGACUGAGACACGGCCCAGACCUNUACGGGAG